rnacentral:rRNA from 1 species
ACUCCUACGGGAGGCAGCAGUGGGGAAUAUUGCACAAUGGGGCGCAAGCCUGAUGCAGCCAUGCCGCGUGUGUGAAGAAGGCCUUCGGGUUGUAAAGCACUUUCAGUUGCUNUGAGGAAGGGUACGUGUUAGGUUAAGAGCUUAGCUUGACUUUUUAAGCGAACAUGGACGACAGAACGAAGCACCGGCUAACUCCGUGCCAGCAGCCGCGGUAAUACGGAGGGUGCGAGCGUUAAUCGGAAUUACUGGGCGUAAAGCGCAUGCAGGUUGGUUUUUGUUAAGUCAGAUGUGAAAGCCCGGGGCUCAACCUCGG